CACAGGUCUGUGCGAAGUCGUAAGACGACGUAUACGGACUGACGCCUGCCCGGUGCCGGAAGGUUAAGGGGUGGGGUUAGCGCAAGCGAAGCUCUAAACCGAAGCCCCGGUAAACGGCGGCCGUAACAAUAACGGUCCUAAGGUAGCGAAAUUCCUUGUCGGGUAAGUUCCGACCUGCACGAAUGGCGUAACGAUCUCCACGCUGUCUCAACCAGAGACUCAGUGAAAUUGAUGUGGCGGUGAAAAUGCCGUCUACCCGCGGAAAGACGGAAAAGACCCCUGUGCACCUUUACUAUAGCUUGACAUUGGAGCUUGGACAAUCGUGUGUAGGAUAGGUGGGAGACUGUGAAACCGGCGCGCUAGCGUUGGCGGAGUCAACCUUGAAAUACCACCCUCGGUUGUUUAAGCUUCUAACCUGGACCGUCAUCCGGUUCGGGGACAUUGUCUGGUGGGUAGUUUGACUGGGGCGGUCGCCUCCCAAAGAGUAACGGAGGC
rnacentral:rRNA from 1 species